GUAGUAUUUGGCCCAGUCAUUUUCAAACAUAUUUUAGCUGUGGGUUCUUUGUUCAAAGUAGUCAGCGUACACGUAAUACAACAUGCAAGAGAAGAUCCUCUGGUCCAGGUGAAGCUGAAGAUGGAAACUGAGGAUCUGCACCUCUGAGGGCCUACACCCAGUACCUUCUCUUCAUCCUCCAUCUUGGAAGCAAGAGACCAUCCUAUCCAUGGGAUACGGCUCAGGAAGUCCACCCAUUCCUUUGAGCCGGGCACUGACAACUCCCUCUUCAGUCUCUGCUACCAUCUCUAACUUCUCUUCUCCCUAAUUUUCUACUACAUGAGAGGUAGAGAAAGAGGGACAUUACAAAAUCAAAGAGCUGACAUACUGUGCAACUGAAUGCUAGCUGCCAAAGCCAUUCUUCAUUCUCACAGUUCUGGAUAAAAUAUGACCUGUUAAUGAGCGCACAGUAAUAACAACAACAUCUUAACAAGUUGUGUGAAGACAUCACCAAGUACCUGGGAGAGUUCCAUCACUGGCAGAUAUUACUCUGUUUUGGGGGCUUUGAGCCUGCAGUUCUUGCUGUUCUUCCAAUCGGCCUAAAGAGGGAGCUGUUUCCCUAGAAUGCUCCAGAGAGGGGCUGCCAGCCAGCCCGAGGGUUUGCGGACCUCAGCCGCAGCCUGCUCCCGCACUAGGCUAUGCAUAAACUUCUGGUGUCAACAAACAACUCAAGUUGCACUUUUCUCGUCUUUAAAAAUAAAAUUAUGUCCACUAAACUGA